ensembl:snRNA U1 U1 spliceosomal RNA
AUACUUACCUGGCAGGUGAGAUACCAUGGUCACAAAGGUGGUUUUCCCAGGGACACGCUUAUCCAUUGCAUUCCGGAUGUGCUGCCCCCCUGUGAUUUCUCCAAAUUCGGGAAAUUCGACUAGAUAAUUUAUGGUAGUGGGAGACUGUGUUCGUGCUCUCCCCUU